GCCGGUGCAAGCCGGCUAUGACACUAAACCUCACGCGGAAUAAGCGUUGCGGACCCGGGGGCGGUACCCGGCGCCUCCACCA
rnacentral:tmRNA from 1 species